rnacentral:rRNA from 1 species
UACGUAGGGCGCAAGCGUUGUCCGGAAUUAUUGGGCGUAAAGAGCUCGUAGGCGGCCUGUCGCGUCUGCUGUGAAAUCCCCGGGGCUCAACCCCGGGCCUGCAGUGGAUACGGGCUGGCUGGAGGCAGGCAGGGGAGAACGGAAUUCCUGGUGUAGCGGUGAAAUGCGCAGAUAUCAGGAGGAACACCGGUGGCGAAGGCGGUUCUCUGGGCCUGUUCUGACGCUGAGGAGCGAAAGCGUGGGGAGCGAACAGG